GGCAAUCAGAUUGUUUUUAAUAAUGUGAAGAGGCGGGGUCAUAUUCAUAUCCAAAAAGUCAAAAAAGAGUGAAUUGAAAUGCCAUGCCAGAAUUGGAGAUUCUACCUACAUAUUGAGAGUUCCGUGGGACUUUUUCUGAAAUCGUGCUGCAUGGGCUAUUUCUAAAGUGCAACAGGUUGAACAAUCUUGACCAUUUGUGAAAGGAAGAUGGACAUUUUGAAAGAUUAAAAAAACGUUUUAAAAACUA